rnacentral:rRNA from 1 species
AUACGGAAGGUCCGGGCGUUAUCCGGAUUUAUUGGGUUUAAAGGGAGCGCAGGCGGAGAUGCAAGCGUGACGUCAAAUUUCGGGGCUCAACCCCGUCUCGCGUCGCGAACUGCGUCCCUUGGUUGCGGGAAGGGGAGGCGGAACUCGGGGUGUAGCGGGGAAAUGCAUAGAUAUCACGAAGAACUCCGAUCGCGAAGGCAGCCUUCCGGCCCGUCAACGACGCUCAUGCUCGAAGGUGCGGGUAUCAAACAGGAUUAGAUACCCUGGUAGUCCGCACAGUAAACGAUGGACACCCGCGGUUUGGCCUGUAUGGCUGAGCCGCCAAGCGAAAGCGUUAAGUGUCCCACCUGGGGAGUACGCCGGCAACGGUGAAACUCAAAUGAAUUGGCGGGG